GCAGCAGUGGGGAAUUUUGGACAAUGGGCGCAAGCCUGAUCCAGCAAUGCCGCGUGCAGGAUGAAGGCCUUCGGGUUGUAAAGCUGCUUUUGUCCGGAAAGAAAAGGUUCUGUCUAAUACCGGGGGCUCAUGACGGUACCGUAAGAAUAAGCACCGGCUAACUACGUGCCAGCAGCCGCGGUAAUACGUAGGGUGCGAGCGUUAAUCGGAAUUACUGGGCGUAAAGCGUGCGCAGGCGGUUUUGUAAGACAGGUGUGAAAUCCCCGGGCUUAACCUGGGAACUGCACUUGUGACUGCAAGGCUGGAGUACGGCAGAGGGGGAUGGAAUUCCGCGUGUAGCAGUGAAAUGCGUAGAUAUGCGGAGGAACACCGA
rnacentral:rRNA from 1 species